UGGUUACCAGGCAAAAUCCGGUAACCUUAAGGCUAGAGCGUGACAGGUAAGCGAAAUCUAAGGAAAGUAGCGAAGCACAUGAUGACGGCUUCCAGGAAAAGCUUCCGGCAAUGCAUAUGCGGCCCGUACCAAAACCGACACAGGUGGGCAGGGAGAGAAUCCCGAGGUGAGCGAGAGAACUGUUGCCAAGGAACUCGGCAAAAUGACUCCGUAAGUUAGCGAGAAGGAGUGCUUAAGCAAUUAAGCCGCAGUGAAGAGGCCAAGCGACUGUUUAACUAAAACACAGCUCUCUGCGAAGUCGCAAGACGAAGUAUAGGGGGUGACACCUGCCCGGUGCUGGAAGGUUAAGAGGAUCUGUUAAGAGCGAUCUGAAGCAGUGAUCCGAAGCCCCAGUGAACGGCGGCCGUAACAAUAACGGUCCUAAGGUAGCGAAAUUCCUUGUCAGGUAAGUUCUGACCCGCACGAAAGGUGUAACGAUUUGGGCGCUGUCUCGGCAGCAGACUCGGUGAAAUCUUAGUACCUGUGAAAAUGCAGGUUACCCGCAACUAGACGGAAAGACCCCAUGGAGCUUUACUGCAGCCUGAUAUUGAAUUCUGGUCAUACAUGUACAGGAUAGGUGGGAGACAAAGAGACGUGCACGCCAGUGUACGAGGAGUCGACGUUGGGAUACCACUCUUGUGUGACCGGGGUUCUAACCUGGUAUCGAGAACAGGUACGGGGAGAGUGUCAGGUGGGCAGUUUGACUGGGGCGGUCGCCUCCCAAAGAGUAACGGAGGCGCCCAAAGGUACGCUCAGAUUGGAUGGAAACCAAUCGACGAGUGCAAUUGCAGAAGCGUGCUUGACUGUGAGACAAACAAGUCGAACAGGACGAAAGUCGGGAAUAGUGAUCCGGCGGUGCCGAAUGGAAGGGCCGUCGCUCAACGGAUAAAAGCUACCCUGGGGAUAACAGGCUGAUCUCGCCCAAGAGUUCACAUCGACGGCGAGGUUUGGCACCUCGAUGUCGGCUCAUCGCAUCCUGGAGCUGGAUUCGGUUCCAAGGGUUGGGCUGUCCGCCCAUUAAAGCGGUACGCGAGCUGGGUUCAGAACGUCGUGAGACAGUUCGGUCCCUAUCUGUUGUGGGCGAAGGAGAUCUGCGGAGAGCUGUCCUCAGUACGAGAGGACCGGGAUGGACCUACCGCUGGUGCACCGGUUGUUCCGCCAGGGGCAUAGCCGGGUAGCUAAGUAGGGAAAGGAUAAGCGCUGAAAGCAUCUAAGCACGAAGCCUACUCCAAGAUGAGAUCUCCCAUUCGCAAGAAGUAAGACCCCUUAAAGACGAUAAGGUAGAUAGGCCAGGGAUGGAAGUGCAGUGAUGUACGGAGUUGACUGGUACUAAUCGGUCGAGGACUUAAUCG
rnacentral:rRNA from 1 species